rnacentral:rRNA from 1 species
GACGAACGCUGGCGGCGUGCCUAACACAUGCAAGUCGAACGGAGAAUUUUAUUUCGGUAGAAUUCUUAGUGGCGAACGGGUGAGUAACGCGUAGGCAACCUACCCUUUAGACGGGGACAACAUUCCGAAAGGAGUGCUAAUACCGGAUGUGAUCAUCGUGCCGCAUGGCAGGAUGAAGAAAGAUGGCCUCUACAAGUAAGCUAUCGCUAAAGGAUGGGCCUGCGUCUGAUUAGCUAGUUGGUAGUGUAACGGACUACCAAGGCGAUGAUCAGUAGCCGGUCUGAGAGGAUGAACGGCCACAUUGGGACUGAGACACGGCCCAAACUCCUACGGGAGGCAGCAGUGGGGAAUCUUCCGCAAUGGACGAAAGUCUGACGGAGCAACGCCGCGUGAGUGAUGAAGGAUUUCGGUCUGUAAAGCUCUGUUGUUUAUGACGAACGUGCAGUGUGUGAACAAUGCAUUGCAAUGACGGUAGUAAACGAGGAAGCCACGGCUAACUACGUGCCAGCAGCCGCGGUAAUACGUAGGUGGCGAGCGUUGUCCGGAAUUAUUGGGCGUAAAGAGCAUGUAGGCGGCUUAAUAAGUCGAGCGUGAAAAUGCGGGGCUCAACCCCGUAUGGCGCUGGAAACUGUUAGGCUUGAGUGCAGGAGAGGAAAGGGGAAUUCCCAGUGUAGCGGUGAAAUGCGUAGAUAUUGGGAGGAACACCAGUGGCGAAGGCGCCUUUCUGGACCGUGUCUGACGCUGAGAUGCGAAAGCCAGGGUAGCGAACGGGAUUAGAUACCCCGGUAGUCCUGGCCGUAAAC